rnacentral:lncRNA from 1 species
GUGGGUUAGAAACUGCUUCUGGAAUGAGAUGUUAUUAAUUUGAUCUCAGCUAUGUCAGUGACCACCUGUAGGAACAUGGGUGGAUUCCACUGGCGAGACUGUUCUGCUACAAUGACCCAAUCAAACUGGGCUCUUAGGAAGGAGUUGGAGCUGUGUCCUCAGCCCACCAGACUCACCUUGAAGCAGGCCUCCUCUCCCAUCUGCCCUCAAGCUCCCAGAUCUCUCCAGGUUCCUCCUGUGCUUCCUGCUGCCUCAGGACCUUUGUCUGAGCUGUUCCUUCUGCCUUGGAGUCUCUUUGCCACUGUCCCCUCCUUCUCUUCACUGCUCCCUACUCACUCCCUGGAUCUUGGCCAGGUUGUCAUUUCUGCAAAGAAACCUUUCCUGGACCUGAAGCAGGCCAAGCGGUAUUGCCAACCAGAACCCCCUUGCCCUCAGUCAAUGGCCUCCCUAGCACCUGUCUGAUGUCUUACUAACCACCAGCACCACAUGCAAAGGACUCCUAUG